rnacentral:rRNA from 1 species
AGCGAACGUUAGCGGCGCGCCUAACACAUGCAAGCCGCACGAGAAAGGGCUUCGGCCCCGGUAAAGUGGCGCACGGGUGAGUAACACGUGGGCAACCUGCCCAACCCUGGGGGAUAACCUGCCGAAAGGCGGGCUAAUACCGCGUACGAGGGCUCGACUUCGGUCGGGUUCUGAAAGCAGGCCUCUGUACACAAGCUUGCGGGGUUGGAUGGGCCCGGGGUCCAUCAGCUAGUUGGUGAGGUAAUGGCUCACCAAGGCUACGACGGAUAGCUGGUCUGAGAGGAUGAUCAGCCACACUGGAACUGAGACACGGUCCAGACUCCUACGGGAGGCAGCAGUGGGGAAACUUGCGCAAUGGACGAAAGUCUGACGCAGCGACGCCGCGUGGGUGACGAAGGCCUUCGGGUUGUAAAGCCCUGUGGGGCGAGACGAACAGCUUCUGGUCAAAUAGGCCAGGGGUCUGACGGUAUCGCCUUAGCAAGCACCGGCUAACUCUGUGCCAGCAGCCGCAGUAACAC